GCGCAGUCGGCAGCGCCGGCGAUUUUCUGUCGUCUGUCGUGAGGGAGAUGUGGUGGCGUUUACCUGACAUUUCCUCUCGGGAAGUCCCCGGAGCCCGCAGGCACCCGGUCCUGCCGGGAUCGGCGGUGUCCGGUAGCCAGGAGCGGGGAAGGCGGGCCUGGAAAACCCUCCCCGGGCUCCAGCAAAGCAAAACAACGCACGCUUUCUGCCUCGUAUUUUCUUUAAAAAAAACGUCACUGGCAAUCCCCUAAUUUCGGGGAGACUGACUCAUCAUUUCUGAACGCUCAGACUUGCUGGUACAGUCGUUGCGUAUUGAGGCGCUGAUGUUCUGUUGUAGGGAACGCAGGGAGCGACGGCCUGACGGAGGACCUCAGCAUCUGAACCCCGUUUAAGUAUUUCUGCUGCUGUCAUCAACUUGGUGUGUGAACGCUCCAGAGUGGGGUGUUCAGGGGAGCACAGGCAGCUAUUUACCGACCCCCUCCAGUGGGAGCCAGGCACUGAAAUACUUCAGAGGAGCGGAAAUGAUACCGUAGGCCAAGCCUGUUUUGAACUGACUCUGCCCCGCUGCUUCGGGCAGGUUUCAGAGGGCAGUUGCUCGUUUUCUGAAGAUACCUGGUCAGCUUCCUCACCAGGUUCCUGAACUAGAAUCUGACAAGAAGGGCUACAAGUACUGGAAACGUGCUCUUGAUAACACAACAAAUGCAGCCUUUCUCCUCUGUCAACAAUUUUAAGAUGAUAGAAGAGGAAACAAUACAAGGACUUCGGUGAGGCAGUUCACCACGGGCAGACCUGUUCUCUGCAGUGUCCAGUCAAGAAAGGCUGCGAUCCCUUAGCACUGCCUUCCUCCCAGAGGCCAAGAUGAUGCUUUAGCAGGUGAGGAAGGCAGUGGUCUGGGAGACCUGAAAAGGCUGCGCUCCGAACAGCCUGCUUAGAGGCUCGUAUGGAGGAGGAUGGUCGGGAGCGGGGCAGACAGCAUGUGCUAGAACCGACGGCUCGCUCUCUCCUCUCAUACACGAGCAAGGGUGGUCGCGACUGGAGUUAAGGGGCCUCAGCUUCAACACGUGCCAAAAGGAUGCUUCCUAAAAAUGGCAGUAGACCUGCGGUACCCCAAAGCAUUCAGCUGAGGAUGUCAUCUGGUUGGAGGCUGCGGGAGUAGCUGGGAAAAUACUAUAUAUGCUUGUAGAGUUCUCACUCGUUUCCUUCAUACCUGGUCAUAGUUACUUUUGGAAACGAGACGCUAGUUAAAAAACACUUUUGGCACCCUUAGGCCUGUUCCAUUAUACUGCUAUUCACUCUAGUUAAGUAGCUCCUAAUUUCCAAAGUGGAUCAAGGCACUGCAGCCAGUGAAGCUCCGUUUCCUUGGUGUGCUCUGACAGAAAGAAAGAAAAAAAUUCCACAAAGAGACGAGAGGAGCAUCAUCAGAAAACACGCGCCCUUUGCUUGUCCUGACGCUGGGAAGGAUGCGGGCCUUGACGGUUGGCCGGCUAACGCCCAGGGCACCUCACUCGCAGUAGUUCAUCUCGUUUUU